AAUUGGAUNGAGCCUUGGUAUGGAAACCCACUNANUGAUAACUUUCAAAUUCAGAGAAACCCUGGAAUUAAUAAAAAGGGGUAAUCCUGAGCCAAAUCCUGUUUUCCGAAAACAAAGAUUCAGAAAGUGAAAAAGGGGAUAGGAUAGGUGCAGAGACUCAACGGAAGCUGUUCUAACAAAUGGAGUUGGCUGCGGUAGUAGAGAAAUCUUUCCAUCAAAAAUCAGUAUAAGGAUGAAGUGAAGGAUAAACGUAUAUACAUACGUAUUGAAUACUAUAUUAAAUGAGUAAUGAGAGCCCGAAUGAAUAUAUAUUUUUUCUAUGAAAAACGAAAGAAUUGGUGUGAAUAGAUUCCGCGUUGAAGAAAGAAUCGAAUAUUCAUUGAUCAAAUGAUUCACUCCAUAGUCUGAUAGAUCUUUUUAAGAACUGAUUAAUCGGACGAGAAUAAAGAUAGAGUCCCGUUCUACAUGUCAAUGCCGGCAACAAUGAAAUUUAUAGUUAAGAGGAAAAUCCGUCGACUUUUAAAAUCGUGAGGGUUCAAGUCCCUCUAUCCCCAAAAAGACUAUUUGACUCCCCAACUAUUUAUCCUAUCCCUCUUUUUGUUAGAGGUUCAAAAUUCCUUAUCCAUUCACUCUAUUCUCUUAGAAUCGAUCUGGGCGGAAAUGCCCUUUUCUUAUCACAUCUAUAUGAUAUACAUACAAAUGAACAUCUUUGAGGAAGAAAUCCCCAUUUGAAUGAUUUACAAUCUAUAUAAUUUAAUUACUCAUACUGAAACUUCCAAAGUCCUCUUUUUUGAGAUCCAAGCAAUUUCAGUACCUAAAUAAAACUUUUUAAUCCCAUUUCCUUCUUUUAAUUGACAUAGACCGCAUUUUCGAAUAAAAUGAGGAUGCUACAUUGGGACUGGUCGGGAUAGCUCAGCUGGUAGAGCAGAGGACUGAAAAUCCUCGUGUC
rnacentral:misc_RNA from 1 species